rnacentral:misc_RNA from 1 species
AACGCACCUUGCGCUCCUUUAUUUUAAGGAGCAUGCCUGUUUGAGUGUCAUUAAAUAAUCAAGUUACUUGAUUUUUAUAAUCAAGAUGACUUGGAUAUGGAAGUGUUGUUGGCCUUUCUUCUUUGGUCAACUCUUCUCAAAUGCAUUAGCCGGAACGUUUUGCAACUGGUCUAACAGUGUGAUAAUUAUCUCUACCAUUGACAGUUGCACUUUGUAUACGUCUGCCUGCUUAUAACUGUCGCUGUCUAGUGACAAAAAUCAUUCAAUGACAUUUUUGACCUCAAAUCAGGUAGGACUACCCGCUGAACUUAA